AAGUCUGACGGAGCACGCCGCGUGAGUGAUGAAGGUUUUCGGAUCGUAAAACUCUGUUGUUAGGGAAGAACAAUUGCUUAACUAGGAGCUCAUGCCUUGACGGUCCCUUGCCAGAAAGCGCGGCUUAAUACCUGCCAGCAGCCGCGGUAAUAA
rnacentral:rRNA from 1 species